AAAUUAAGUGCCUCGAAUGUUUUGAUACUAUACAAAGGUGAAGUCGGAUCUCGACGCUGAAUCUCCAAAUCCUUUGUAGUUUCAACUAAUCCUUUGCGGAUUAUUUUUUGCAAUAAAGACUUCUCUGCAGGAGAUAUGUGUUCUUCAUUUUCAUCGCUUUUUGAACUCUCACUUCCUUCUAAUGGAGGUGUGGCAGGAUUUACAAUACCUAAAUUGGGUUCUGCAAUUACACCGCGCACAGACGCACUUC
rnacentral:misc_RNA from 1 species